rnacentral:rRNA from 1 species
GUGCACCAGUCGCGAAUCCUCCGCAAUACACGAAAGUGUGACGGGGUUACCCAAAGUGUCCAAAUUUGGACUGUGGUAGGUGAGUAAUGUCCCCUACUAGAAAGGAGAGGGCAAGGCUGGUGCCAGCCGCCGCGGUAAAACCAGCUCUUCAAGUGGUCGGGAUAAUUAUUGGGCUUAAAAGUGUCCGUAGCCGGUUUAGUAAGUUCCUGGUAAAAUCGGGUAGCUUAACUAUCUGUAUGCUAGGAAUACUGCUAUACUAGAGGGCGGGAGAGGUCUGAGGUACUACAGGGGUAGGGGUGAAAUCCUGUAAUCCUUGUAGGACCACCAGUGGCGAAGGCGUCAGACUGGAACGCGCCUGACGGUGAGGGACGAAAGCCAGGGGAGCGAACCGGAUUAGAUACCCCGGUA